CGUAGCGAUGAAGGCCCUAG
rnacentral:siRNA from 1 species